rfam:Lachnospiraceae bacterium strain KH1P17 genome assembly, contig: Ga0059119_110
UGAUAUGAGGGUAAAAAGGUACAAAUCCGAUUGUGCUUGCACAAAAAGGAUUUGGAACUUGGGACCCGUAAAACACGAGCAUGUAGCGUUAUUACGCGGAAUGCGAGUGUUUUAGAAGCGCGUAAGCUGCAUGGCAGCGAAGCGAUUCGUGAUAUCA